rnacentral:rRNA from 1 species
UACGAAGGGGGCUAGCGUUGCUCGGAAUCACUGGGCGUAAAGGGUGCGUAGGCGGGUCUUUAAGUCAGGGGUGAAAUCCUGGAGCUCAACUCCAGAACUGCCUUUGAUACUGAGGAUCUUGAGUUCGGGAGAGGUGAGUGGAACUGCGAGUGUAGAGGUGAAAUUCGUAGAUAUUCGCAAGAACACCAGUGGCGAAGGCGGACUCACU